CCGCGCUAGGCGGGGAGCUAGCGGUGCCCUGUAACCCGCGAUCCGCUUGAGCGGGGCUGAAUCCCCGUCCGAGGCCCGGUGGGUCCGAGGCAGCUCCCGGUACGGAGCGUCGAUGGUCGGGUCCCGCGCGACGCCGGCCCCGUGAACCCGGUCAGAUCCGGAAGGAAGCAGCCGUAAGCGGGAGCCGGCGGGUGCCGCGGGCGUGCCUGGCCGGAGCAACCGGCCGGUGACGCGCUCGAGUCCAUCGCGGUCGACGGCGGGUGCGCGG
rnacentral:SRP_RNA from 1 species